ACGCGACAGCAAAAGUAAUUACAGCAAAGCGGCGCUGACAGCGCUAUCGAUCGCGGUGACAAAUGCGCAACGUGUUAUUGCUUUAAUUCCUUGCAGAGGAGCGCGGGCGAGCUGGAUCCACAACCAGCCGGGCCGGCCGCAUCCCGGCCCUGGGAGGAGCAAAACCAUCCGUCGGGAAGCUGUAAUAAACUCCUCCAGCUGGUUUCUGACCGAUUUAAACAGCACAAACCGAUGGCGCGAGGGGGGUUUGCGAACACGACCGAGGGCAGGCGCUGGACACCAUCCAUUCCAAGGGAGACGGAUGCGUUCUCUCGGGUCACCUUCGCUUUGAGAUGCUGCAGGUGUCAGAUGCGACAAACAAAAUCCUCCCCAGCCCUGUGUAUUCAAUCGGCGUCGCUUUGCUCCAUAAAUCAGAGCUGCCGAGUCUCAGCUUGCCGCUAAUGAGUUCGGCCCAACUCAUAUCGCCUCACCCCCCGACGGGCUCGCAGGCCCGCUUAGGAAAGCUCCAGCGCAGCUGCAGCCGCUCAGACGCUCCCUGAAUCACCAGCGACGUCCCCUCGUGUCCCGGGAUGAGUCAAACCCCAGUUCCCGCAGCCGAUGUGACGGUGCAGCCGGUUUUCCCGGGAAGGGUGAACCCGCCCGCAGCGUUUCCCCCGCAUCUCCUCCCCAGCCCCGGCUGCUCCCAGGGACAAAGCGGGUGGAGAAGGGCACGAACCGUCCCGUCACCCCCGGGACGGCCCCGGCGGCGCUUCUGAGCAACGAAAACGCUUUUCCCUUCUCCCGGGAGGCGGCGCCGCCGUCACGGCCGUUCCCGCGUCCCCGCUCUGGAGGGGCCUGAGCCCCAGGGAAAGGAGCUGGCGCCGACCCCCCAGAAAAUAACACCCAGAACCCCGGUGACCCCAAAAUUGGACUUUCAGAAGCAUCCGAAUGAACCAGCCGGGUUUGCUGAAGGCGAGACCCGCUCGGACUGACCGUCCCCCACCGGCUCGGCCCCUCCGGAGGUGGGAAACACCAGAUGUGCCCAGUAACCAACUGAUCCUGCAAACACCCCCAGAUCCCACAGCUUUAUUUGUGCAAAACGGGGAGGAAGGGACAGGGGCACGACGGCGGCUCGGCCGGAUCCCGCGGCUCGUGGGGAAGCUCUGGGGUGGCACAGGGGCUGUGACAGCAGGACCGGAGCGUUAUUUCCCACGGUGCACGUGCUGCCGCCAUCAAAAAGCGUCUUUUGUUACAGAAAUGGAAGCGCCGCGCUCGGCGUCUCAAAGCGUCUCACACCCGAGGCGGCGAACGGCACCAAAGCUGCCGGUUCUCCCUCAAAACGCAAACGGGAAACGCGGAUCCGGACACGGGCUGGCGCGGUCGGCGAUUCCUGCGCCUUGAGAGGCGUCGGAUGAGCCGCAGGAGAUUUCUGCUCCCGAUUUAGGCGCCGGAAAAUCCUCCUGCCAAACCUGGGGCUAAUCGGGCGCGAUCCUCGGGCUGUAAUCUCCUCAGGGCUCUGCCCGGGCCGCGCGGGUCCCGAGGCAGAGACACCGUUACCGUGCUGCACCCAACACCAACAACGACACUUUCCGCGGUAAAACACGGGCGGUUGUCCCAGGAACACCCUCCCGAGGGGUGAUGCAGGCAGAGGAAAGCAGGACAAGCACGGCAGCAGGAUUCUUUUCACUUGGGAAACCCCCUCGGACGCCGCAGCCAGAGCGGUGCAGCCGCUUCCCAGCGCCGAGGCGGAGGAAACUCAAUUCCUCUGUCCCGGCCUUAAAAGGAAGGGAAGUUUCGCUCUCGCUAAGUGACGCUUUUAUGUUUUGAAGCUCAGAGCCAAGAUCCAGCGACAAGAUCCCGUCCGAGAGCAGGACUCGGAGCCGCCCGCACACCCUGCCGGACUGUGGGCACACGGACCAGAAACGCUCCCUCGCCCCAGCGCGACGGGACGGCACAGAAACAACAGAACUGACGUGCCCCAAGAGACAAAAGCUUCGCCUUUCCCACCGGUUCCUCUUCUCCCUCCGAGGUGGAUCCCCCGGGAGGUUUUGGGGCGACAGGAGGUUUCCCAGAGCGCUCCAAAGCCUCCCGGCUCGCGCUCGUUAUCGCUGCGCCCAUCGGUGACGCUUUGAACGAUAUUUCCCCAGCGAUCUGAACUCUCUACGUAUCAUUUUAUACCGGGCAUUUCCCAGGCUGCCCGGUCAGCUUGUUGUGCUCAACGCUCGCCCCACUAGGGGCAGAUAAUCGCAUUUUAGCUCCUCGGGGCUGCGAUGCCCACGCAAGGAUACCAAGAGGGCUCAAGAACACACCUUUUCCUGGCAAAGGGCGGCCUGCACCGCCGGGCUGGGAGAUAAUAGUGAUUAAGCACCGCGGCUCCUCUCUGCUCGGCUCUGCUUCCACAAACCUAAUCAUGUCAGAGGGAAAGAAAAGGAAAAUCUCCCCCAAGCACGGCUAAACGUAUUAAACUGAGACACGGUGCCACAGCCGCGAGGCAAAUAAAAUACACACGGGCAUCUGUGCUGUCAUUAAAAAAGCCUCUGUGAUA